GGCCGUAACUAUAACGGUCCUAAGGUAGCGAAAUUCCUUGUCGGGUAAGUUCCGACCUGCACGAAUGGCGUAAUGAUGGCCAGGCUGUCUCCACCCGAGACUCAGUGAAAUUGAACUCGCUGUGAAGAUGCAGUGUACCCGCGGCAAGACGGAAAGACCCCGUGAACCUUUACUAUAGCUUGACACUGAACAUUGAGCCUUGAUGUGUAGGAUAGGUGGGAGGCUUUGAAGUGUGGACGCCAGUCUGCAUGGAGCCGACCUUGAAAUACCACCCUUUAAUGUUUGAUGUUCUAACGUUGGCCCCUGAUCGGGGUUGCGGACAGUGUCUGGUGGGUAGUUUGACUGGGGCGGUCUCCUCCUAAAGAGUAACGGAGGAGCACGAAGGUUGGCUAAUCCUGGUCGGACAUCAGGAGGUUAGUGCAAUGGCAUAAGCCAGCUUGACUGCGAGCGUGACGGCGCGAGCAGGUGCGAAAGCAGGUCAUAGUGAUCCGGUGGUUCUGAAUGGAAGGGCCAUCGCUCAACGGAUAAAAGGUACUCCGGGGAUAACAGGCUGAUACCGCCCAAGAGUUCAUAUCGACGGCGGUGUUUGGCACCUCGAUGUCGGCUCAUCACAUCCUGGGGCUGAAGUAGGUCCCAAGGGUAUGGCUGUUCGCCAUUUAAAGUGGUACGCGAGCUGGGUUUAGAACGUCGUGAGACAGUUCGGUCCCUAUCUGCCGUGGGCGCUGGAGAACUGAGGGGGGCUGCUCCUAGUACGAGAGGACCGGAGUGGACGCAUCACUGGUGUUCGGGUUGUCAUGCCAAUGGCACUGCCCGGUAGCUAAAUGCGGAAGAGAUAAGUGCUGAAAGCAUCUAAGCACGAAACUUGCC
rnacentral:rRNA from 1 species